rnacentral:lncRNA from 1 species
GCAAAAACGAUGAUGUUAUGAUUGGUGAUUCAUGUGAUUAUUCCUGGCUACUUAUUUGUUCGAUGAUGGUUGCUGGAGAACAAUAGGGAGGAAGCUGACUACACCUACAUCCAUUACAUAUGGUCAAAACCGAACCACGCUCAUCCCUACAUAUGGAUGUAGGUGAAAUAUAUAAACCCUGGGCUCGAUACAGCUUCCGUGACUACAUACCAAAUUCCGAAUGACUGAUUGCAUAGCCUUAGUGUAUUCUAUCUUCCUCUUCCCCUGCAAAAUAUAUGCCAGUG